rnacentral:rRNA from 1 species
UACGUAGGUGGCAAGCGUUAUCCGGAUUUACUGGGUGUAAAGGGCGUGUAGGCGGGAAAGCAAGUCAGAUGUGAAAACCACGGGCUCAACCUGUGGCCUGUAUUUGAAACUGUUUUUCUUGAGUACUGGAGAGGCAGACGGAAUUCCUCGUGUAGCGGUGAAACGCGUAGAUAUGAGGAGGAACACCAGUGGCGAAGGCGGUCUGCUGGACAGCAACUGACGCUGAGGCGCGAAAGCGUGGGGAGCAAACAGG